rnacentral:rRNA from 1 species
UACGUAGGGGGCAAGCGUUGUCCGGAUUUAUUGGGCGUAAAGAGCGUGUAGGCGGCCAUACAGGUCAGCUGUGAAAACUCGAGGCUCAACCUCGAGACGUCGGUUGAAACCGUAUGGCUAGAGUCCGGAAGAGGAGAGUGGAAUUCCCGGUGUAGCGGUGAAAUGCGUAGAGAUCGGGGAGAACACCAGUGGCGAAGGCGGCCGGCUGGGGGCGCCCUGACGCUGAGGCGCGAGAGCGUGGGGAGCGAACCGG